rnacentral:rRNA from 1 species
UACGGUAGGGGCCGAGCGUUGUCCGGAAUUACUGGGCGUAAAGAGCUCGUAGGUGGUUUGUCGCGUUGUUCGUGAAAACUCACAGCUCAACUGUGGGCGUGCGGGCGAUACGGGCAGACUAGAGUAUUGCAGGGGAGACUGGAAUUCCUGGUGUAGCGGUGAAAUGACGCAGAUAUCAGGAGGAACACCGGUGGCGAAGGCGGGUCUCUGGGCAAUAACUGACGCUGGAGGAGCGAAAGCGUGGGGAGCGAACAGG